CGGUAGGGGAGGCGGGGCUCGAGGGAGAUGGCGCCGCGCUCCCGGAUGAACAAAGAAAGCGACAGGCCGUAGUCAUGGCGACUGCCAACUGUCAUGGCGCUGGUGGGAGUGUCACCUAGCGUGAAAACAGGAUGAUAAUGAAGCCAGAGGUUCUUCAGAGGUGCCAUCUUGGAUUUCGCCGGCUUCAGCUGGUUUCGUCCUAAGAAGGGACUUCAGAACCCAGCUGCAUACAACCUACUGGCCACACUGACCCUCACACCCCACGUAGAAUGUGCAGAUAUGCCGGAGGGCCCACAACUCAGUCACUGUGCAGCCUCCUGGAACUCAUGCCUGCUUGCUGUAAACCACCAAAUAAGAAUCCCCACGGGAAACCUGUUGGAUAACACCCUGGACCCAAUAAAGGUGUUGGCCCAUGGGUUGCUCUCUUGGUCUCUGCCUGCACUCCCUGAUUUCCGUCAAUAUGGCCUCCAAGUAUGCCAUGUACCCCAGGACCUGUGAGUAAUAAACUGUUUCUAUCCUG